rnacentral:rRNA from 1 species
UUGAAUGGCCGCAGUAAUUUGACUGUGCGAAGGUAGCAUAAUCAUUAGUUUUUUAAUUAAAAGCUUGUAUGAAUGGUUGGACGAGAUAAAAUCUGUCUUUGAGUAAAUUUUAGAAUUUAAUUUUUAAGUUAAAAAGCUUAAAUUUUUAUAAAAGACGAGAAGACCCUAUAGAUCUUUAUAGUAUUAUAUUUAUUUUUAAUUAAGAUUAUUUUAUUAUUUAAAUUUAAUAUUAUUUUAUUGGGGUAAUAUGAAGAUUAAUUUAAUUCUUUAUUAUAUUUUUUCAAUAAUUUUUGUUUAUUUGAUCCUUAAUUUAAGAUUAAAAGAUUAAGUUACCUUAGGGAUAACAGCGUAAUUUUUUUAAAGAGUUCAUAUCGAUAAAAAAGUUUGCGACCUCGAUGUUGGAUUAAAAAUAAUUCUAGGUGUAGAAGUUUAGAUUAUUGGUCUGUUCGACCAUUAUAUUUUUACAUGAUCUGAGUUCAGACCGGUGUAAGCCAGGUCGGUUUCUAUCUUUAUUUAAUUAAUAUAUUUUAGUACGAAAGGACCAAAUAUUUAUUAUAUUUAUAUUUAUUUUUUGAAUAAUAUUAUUACUUUGGCAGAUUAGUGUAAUGAAUUUAGAAUUCAAGAAUGUAAUUAUUUUACAAGUAAUAUUGUUUAAAUUUGAUUUUAUUAUUUUUUUUGUUUGUUUUUUAUU